rnacentral:rRNA from 1 species
UAGUGGCGAACGGGUGAGUAACACGUGAGUAACCUGCCCUUGACUCUGGGAUAACCUCCGGAAACGGAAGCUAAUACCGGAUACGACCCGCGGAGGCAUCUCCAGCGGGUGGAAAGAACUUCGGUCAAGGAUGGACUCGCGGCCUAUCAGGUAGUUGGUGAGGUAACGGCUCACCAAGCCUACGACGGGUAGCCGGCCUGAGAGGGUGACCGGCCACACUGGGACUGAGACACGGCCCAGACUCCUACGGGAGGCAGCAGUGGGGAAUAUUGCACAAUGGGCGCAAGCCUGAUGCAGCAACGCCGCGUGAGGGACGACGGCCUUCGGGUUGUAAACCUCUUUUAGUAGGGAAGAAGCGAAAGUGACGGUACCUGCAGAAAAAGCACCGGCUAACUACGUGCCAGCAGCCGCGGUAAUACGUAGGGUGCGAGCGUUGUCCGGAAUUAUUGGGCGUAAAGAGCUCGUAGGCGGUCUGUCGCGUCUGCUGUGAAAACCCGAGGCUCAACCUCGGGCCUGCAGUGGGUACGGGCAGACUAGAGUGCGGUAGGGGAGAAUGGAAUUCCUGGUGUAGCGGUGGAAUGCGCAGAUAUCAGGAGGAACACCGAUGGCGAAGGCAGUUCUCUGGGCCGUAACUGACGCUG